GCCCAGAUCGCAUAGCCCGGUAUUGCGCAGGAUUGCUAAUCCUGUUCCUCACGGAAUCCCCGGUUCAAAUCCGGGUCUGGGCG
rnacentral:tRNA from 1 species